CCUGCCUGUAAGACUGGGAUAACUCCGGGAAACCGGAGCUAAUACCGGAUACUAUGUCAAACCGCAUGGUUUGACAUUCAAAGACGGUUUCGGCUGUCACUUACAGAUGGGCCCGCGGCGCAUUAGCUAGUUGGUGAGGUAAUGGCUCACCAAGGCGACGAUGCGUAGCCGACCUGAGAGGGUGAUCGGCCACACUGGGACUGAGACACGGCCCAGACUCCUACGGGAGGCAGCAGUAGGGAAUCUUCCGCAAUGGACGAAAGUCUGACGGAGCAACGCCGCGUGAGUGAUGAAGGUUUUCGGAUCGUAAAACUCUGUUGUCAGGGAAGAACAAGUGCCGGAGUAACUGCCGGCGCCUUGACGGUACCUGACCAGAAAGCCACGGCUAACUACGUGCCAGCAGCCGCGGUAAUACGUAGGUGGCAAGCGUUGUCCGGAAUUAUUGGGCGUAAAGCGCGCGCAGGCGGUUUCUUAAGUCUGAUGUGAAAGCCCCCGGCUCAACCGGGGAGGGUCAUUGGAAACUGGGAAACUUGAGUGCAGAAGAGGAGAGUGGAAUUCCACGUGUAGCGGUGAAAUGCGUAGAGAUGUGGAGGAACACCAGUGGCGAAGGCGACUCUCUGGUCUGUAACUGACGCUGAGGCGCGAAAGCGUGGGGAGCGAACAGGAUUAGAUACCCUGGUAGUCCACGCCGUAAACGAUGAGUGCUAAGUGUUAGAGGGUUUCCGCCCUUUAGUGCUGCAGCUAACGCAUUAAGCACUCCGCCUGGGGAGUACGGUCGCAAGACUGAAACUCAAAGGAAUUGACGGGGGCCCGCACAAGCGGUGGAGCAUGUGGUUUAAUUCGAAGCAACGCGAAGAACCUUACCAGGUCUUGACAUCCUUUGCCACUUCUAGAGAUAGAAGGUUCCCCUUCGGGGGACAAAGUGACAGGUGGUGCAUGGUUGUCGUCA
rnacentral:rRNA from 1 species